UCAUGAGCUUUAAGUUGAGGCCAUAAAAAAAAACUCUCUGAAAGCCAAAAGGGGGCAGCAGGUUGUUUCUAUAGACACGGAGCCCUCAAACACUUUUUUUACGGCGUCACAUAAAAAGUGUUUCCUGAAUGAGCGAGUUCUCAAACUGACCACGUCACGAGAGCAGCAGCGCCGUGUCAGGACAAGACUUCAUCACAGCAGUGGCAGGUGUGGAAGAUAAGCUGUGAAAAGCCUGAAGAAACUUCUCAGACAGACAGGAAGCUUUCCUUGGGCUCGCCUCUAACAGGACAAAGACUUUGACAUCACUCCACCUUUUCCUGCUCACAUCCUCCAGGCUUCAACCGGAGCGCGGGCGACAUAAAAGGUACUCCAACAGGCCCUCGAGGGCCUCGAUGUCAGCGCGGGACACGCAGUCGAACAGGAGGGAGCGGUUGAAUAUCUUCAUCACUUUCGGCGGGUCUGAGCUUUGAGCGUCAUCGCAGGACGUCUCGGUUUUA